AGAGUUUGAUCAUGGCUCAGGAUGAACGCUGGCGGCGUGCUUAACACAUGCAAGUCGAACGAAGCGAUUUGACGGAAGUUUUCGGAUGGAAGACAAAUUGACUGAGUGGCGGACGGGUGGGUAACGCGUGGGUAACCUGCCUCAUACAGGGGGAUAACAGUUAGAAAUGACUGCUAAUACCGCAUAAGCGCACGGAAGCGCAUGCUUCUGUGUGAAAAACUCCGGUGGUAUGAGAUGGACCUGCGUCUGAUUAGCUGGUUGGUGAGGUAACGGCCCACCAAGGCGACGAUCAGUAGCCGACCUGAGAGGGUGACCGGCCACAUUGGGACUGAGACAUGGCCCAAACUCCUACGGGAGGCAGCAGUGGGGAAUAUUGCACAAUGGGGGAAACCCUGAUGCAGCGACGCCGCGUGAGUGAAGAAGUAUUUCGGUAUGUAAAGCUCUAUCAGCAGGGAAGAGAAUGACGGUACCUGACUAAGAAGCCCGG
rnacentral:rRNA from 1 species